rnacentral:rRNA from 1 species
AUUGAACGCUGGCGGCAGGCCUAACACAUGCAAGUCGAGCGGAUGAAGGGAGCUUGCUCCUGGAUUCAGCGGCGGACGGGUGAGUAAUGCCUAGGAAUCUGCCUGGUAGUGGGGGAUAACGUCCGGAAACGGGCGCUAAUACCGCAUACGUCCUGAGGGAGAAAGUGGGGGAUCUUCGGACCUCACGCUAUCAGAUGAGCCUAGGUCGGAUUAGCUAGUUGGUGGGGUAAAUGCCUACCAAGGCGACGAUCCGUAACUGGUCUGAGAGGAUGAUCAGUCACACGGGAACUGAGACACGGUCCAGACUCCUACGGGAGGCAGCAGUGGGGAAUAUUGGACAAUGGGCGAAAGCCUGAUCCAGCCAUGCCGCGUGUGUGAAGAAGGUCUUCGGAUUGUAAAGCACUUUAAGUUGGGAGGAAGGGCGGUAAGUUAAUACCUUGCUGUUUUGACGUUACCAACAGAAUAAGCACCGGCUAACUUCGUG